GGUUAAGCGACUAAGCGUACACGGUGGAUGCCCUGGCAGUCAGAGGCGAUGAAGGACGUGCUAAUCUGCGAUAAGCGUCGGUAAGGUGAUAUGAACCGUUAUAACCGGCGAUUUCCGAAUGGGGAAACCCAGUGUGUUUCGACACACUAUCAUUAACUGAAUCCAUAGGUUAAUGAGGCGAACCGGGGGAACUGAAACAUCUAAGUACCCCGAGGAAAAGAAAUCAACCGAGAUUCCCCCAGUAGCGGCGAGCGAACGGGGAGCAGCCCAGAGCCUGAAUCAGUAUGUGUGUUAGUGGAAGCGUCUGGAAAGGCGCGCGAUACAGGGUGACAGCCCCGUACACAAAAAUGCACAUGCUGUGAGCUCGAUGAGUAGGGCGGGACACGUGGUAUCCUGUCUGAAUAUGGGGGGACCAUCCUCCAAGGCUAAAUACUCCUGACUGACCGAUAGUGAACCAGUACCGUGAGGGAAAGGCGAAAAGAACCCCGGCGAGGGGAGUGAAAAAGAACCUGAAACCGUGUACGUACAAGCAGUGGGAGCACGCUUAGGCGUGUGACUGCGUACCUUUUGUAUAAUGGGUCAGCGACUUAUAUUCUGUAGCAAGGUUAACCGAAUAGGGGAGCCGAAGGGAAACCGAGUCUUAACUGGGCGUUAAGUUGCAGGGUAUAGACCCGAAACCCGGUGAUCUAGCCAUGGGCAGGUUGAAGGUUGGGUAACACUAACUGGAGGACCGAACCGACUAAUGUUGAAAAAUUAGCGGAUGACUUGUGGCUGGGGGUGAAAGGCCAAUCAAACCGGGAGAUAGCUGGUUCUCCCCGAAAGCUAUUUAGGUAGCGCCUCGUGAAUUCAUCUCCGGGGGUAGAGCACUGUUUCGGCAAGGGGGUCAUCCCGACUUACCAACCCGAUGCAAACUGCGAAUACCGGAGAAUGUUAUCACGGGAGACACACGGCGGGUGCUAACGUCCGUCGUGAAGAGGGAAACAACCCAGACCGCCAGCUAAGGUCCCAAAGUCAUGGUUAAGUGGGAAACGAUGUGGGAAGGCCCAGACAGCCAGGAUGUUGGCUUAGAAGCAGCCAUCAUUUAAAGAAAGCGUAAUAGCUCACUGGUCGAGUCGGCCUGCGCGGAAGAUGUAACGGGGCUAAACCAUGCACCGAAGCUGCGGCAGCGACGCUUAUGCGUUGUUGGGUAGGGGAGCGUUCUGUAAGCCUGUGAAGGUGUACUGUGAGGUAUGCUGGAGGUAUCAGAAGUGCGAAUGCUGACAUAAGUAACGAUAAAGCGGGUGAAAAGCCCGCUCGCCGGAAGACCAAGGGUUCCUGUCCAACGUUAAUCGGGGCAGGGUGAGUCGACCCCUAAGGCGAGGCCGAAAGGCGUAGUCGAUGGGAAACAGGUUAAUAUUCCUGUACUUGGUGUUACUGCGAAGGGGGGACGGAGAAGGCUAUGUUGGCCGGGCGACGGUUGUCCCGGUUUAAGCGUGUAGGCUGGUUUUCCAGGCAAAUCCGGAAAAUCAAGGCUGAGGCGUGAUGACGAGGCACUACGGUGCUGAAGCAACAAAUGCCCUGCUUCCAGGAAAAGCCUCUAAGCAUCAGGUAACAUCAAAUCGUACCCCAAACCGACACAGGUGGUCAGGUAGAGAAUACCAAGGCGCUUGAGAGAACUCGGGUGAAGGAACUAGGCAAAAUGGUGCCGUAACUUCGGGAGAAGGCACGCUGAUAUGUAGGUGAAGCGACUUGCUCGUGGAGCUGAAAUCAGUCGAAGAUACCAGCUGGCUGCAACUGUUUAUUAAAAACACAGCACUGUGCAAACACGAAAGUGGACGUAUACGGUGUGACGCCUGCCCGGUGCCGGAAGGUUAAUUGAUGGGGUCAGCGCAAGCGAAGCUCUUGAUCGAAGCCCCGGUAAACGGCGGCCGUAACUAUAACGGUCCUAAGGUAGCGAAAUUUCCUUGUCGGGUAAGUUCCGACCUGCACGAAUGGCGUAAUGAUGGCCAGGCUGUCUCCACCCGAGACUCAGUGAAAUUGAACUCGCUGUGAAGAUGCAGUGUACCCGCGGCAAGACGGAAAGACCCCGUGAACCUUUACUAUAGCUUGACACUGAACAUUGAGCCUUGAUGUGUAGGAUAGGUGGGAGGCUUUGAAGUGUGGACGCCAGUCUGCAUGGAGCCGACCUUGAAAUACCACCCUUUAAUGUUUGAUGUUCUAACGUGGACCCGUAAUCCGGGUUGCGGACAGUGUCUGGUGGGUAGUUUGACUGGGGCGGUCUCCUCCUAAAGAGUAACGGAGGAGCACGAAGGUUGGCUAAUCCUGGUCGGACAUCAGGAGGUUAGUGCAAUGGCAUAAGCCAGCUUGACUGCGAGCGUGACGGCGCGAGCAGGUGCGAAAGCAGGUCAUAGUGAUCCGGUGGUUCUGAAUGGAAGGGCCAUCGCUCAACGGAUAAAAGGUACUCCGGGGAUAACAGGCUGAUACCGCCCAAGAGUUCAUAUCGACGGCGGUGUUUGGCACCUCGAUGUCGGCUCAUCACAUCCUGGGGCUGAAGUAGGUCCCAAGGGUAUGGCUGUUCGCCAUUUAAAGUGGUACGCGAGCUGGGUUUAGAACGUCGUGAGACAGUUCGGUCCCUAUCUGCCGUGGGCGCUGGAGAACUGAGGGGGGCUGCUCCUAGUACGAGAGGACCGGAGUGGACGCAUCACUGGUGUUCGGGUUGUCAUGCCAAUGGCACUGCCCGGUAGCUAAAUGCGGAAGAGAUAAGUGCUGAAAGCAUCUAAGCACGAAACUUGCCCCGAGAUGAGUUCUCCCUGACUCCUUGAGAGUCCUGAAGGAACGUUGAAGACGACGACGUUGAUAGGCCGGGUGUGUAAGCGCAGCGAUGCGUUGAGCUAACCGGUACUAAUGAACCGUGAGGCUUAACCUUACAACGCCGAAGCUGUUUUG
rnacentral:rRNA from 1 species